AUUGAACGCUGGCGGCAGGCCUAACACAUGCAAGUCGAACGAGUGGCGGACGGGUGAGUAAUGUCUGGGAAACUGCCUGAUGGAGGGGGAUAAAUACUGGAAACGGUAGCUAAUACCGCAUACCAUCAGAUGUGCCCAGAUGGGAUUAGCUAGUUGGUGGGGUAACGGCUCACCAAGGCGACGCUCCCUAGCUGGUCUGAGAGGAUAACAAGCAACACGGGAACGGAGACACGGUCCAGACGCCUACGGGAGGAAGCAGUGGGGAAUAUUGAACAAUGGGCGAAAGCCUGAUGCAGCCAUGCCGCGUGUAUGAAGAAGGCCUUCGGGUUGUAAAGUACUGUCAGCGGGGAGGCGGUACCCGCAGAAGAAGCACCGGCUAACUCCGUGCCAGCAGCCGCGGUAAUAC
rnacentral:rRNA from 1 species